AGAGUUUGAUCCUGGCUCAGGAUGAACGCUGGCGGCGUGCCUAACACAUGCAAGUCGAACGAAGCAAUUAAAAUGAAGUUUUCGGAUGGAUUUUUAAUUGACUGAGUGGCGGACGGGUGAGUAACGCGUGGAUAACCUGCCUCACACUGGGGGAUAACAGUUAGAAAUGACUGCUAAUACCGCAUAAGCGCACAGUACCGCAUGGUACGGUGUGAAAAACUCCGGUGGUGUGAGAUGGAUCCGCGUCUGAUUAGCCAGUUGGCGGGGUAACGGCCCACCAAAGCGACGAUCAGUAGCCGACCUGAGAGGGUGACCGGCCACAUUGGGACUGAGACACGGCCCAAACUCCUACGGGAGGCAGCAGUGGGGAAUAUUGCACAAUGGGGGAAACCCUGAUGCAGCGACGCCGCGUGAGUGAAGAAGUAUUUCGGUAUGUAAAGCUCUAUCAGCAGGGAAGAAAAUGACGGUACCUGACUAAGAAGCCCCGGCUAACUACGUGCCAGCAGCCGCGGUAAUACGUAGGGGGCAAGCGUUAUCCGGAUUUACUGGGUGUAAAGGGAGCGUAGACGGUGUGGCAAGUCUGAUGUGAAAGGCAUGGGCUCAACCUGUGGACUGCAUUGGAAACUGUCAUACUUGAGUGCCGGAGGGGUAAGCGGAAUUCCUAGUGUAGCGGUGAAAUGCGUAGAUAUUAGGAGGAACACCAGUGGCGAAGGCGGCUUACUGGACGGUAACUGACGUUGAGGCUCGAAAGCGUGGGGAGCAAACAGGAUUAGAUACCCUGGUAGUCCACGCC
rnacentral:rRNA from 1 species